AGCAUACACAUGCAGUCGAGCGGUAGCACAGAGAGCUUGCUCUCGGGUGACGAGCGGCGGACGGGUGAGUAAUGUCUGGGAAACUGCCUGAUGGAGGGGGAUAACUACUGGAAACGGUAGCUAAUACCGCAUAAUGUCGCAAGACCAAAGUGGGGGACCUUCGGGCCUCAUGCCAUCAGAUGUGCCCAGAUGGGAUUAGCUAGUAGGUGGGGUAACGGCUCACCUAGGCGACGAUCCCUAGCUGGUCUGAGAGGAUGACCAGCCACACUGGAACUGAGACACGGUCCAGACUCCUACGGGAGGCAGCAGUGGGGAAUAUUGCACAAUGGGCGCAAGCCUGAUGCAGCCAUGCCGCGUGUGUGAAGAAGGCCUUCGGGUUGUAAAGCACUUUCAGCGGGGAGGAAGGCGCUAAGGUUAAUAACCUUGGCGAUUGACGUUACCCGCAGAAGAAGCACCGGCUAACUCCGUGCCAGCAGCCGCGGUAAUACGGAGGGUGCAAGCGUUAAUCGGAAUUACUGGGCGUAAAGCGCACGCAGGCGGUCUGUCAAGUCGGAUGUGAAAUCCCCGGGCUCAACCUGGGAACUGCAUUCGAGACUGGCAGGCUAGAGUCUUGUAGAGGGGGGUAGAAUUCCAGGUGUAGCGGUGAAAUGCGUAGAGAUCUGGAGGAAUACCGGUGGCGAAGGCGGCCCCCUGGACAAAGACUGACGCUCAGGUGCGAAAGCGUGGGGAGCAGACAGGAUUAGAUACCCUGGUAGUCCACGCCGUAAACGAUGUCGAUUUGGAGGUUGUGCCCUUGAGGCGUGGCUUCCGGAGCUAACGCGUUAAAUCGACCGCCUGGGGAGUACGGCCGCAAGGUUAAAACUCAAAUGAAUUGACGGGGGCCCGCACAAGCGGUGGAGCAUGUGGUUUAAUUCGAUGCAACGCGAAGAACCUUACCUGGUCUUGACAUCCACAGAACUUUCCAGAGAUGGAUUGGUGCCUUCGGAACUGUGAGACAGGUGCUGCAUGGCUGUCGUCAGCUCGUGUUGUGAAAUGUUGGGUUAAGUCCCGCAACGAGCGCAACCUUAUCUUUGUUGCCAGCGUUCAGCC
rnacentral:rRNA from 1 species